UUAGCUAGUUGGUGGGGUAACGGCUCACCAAGGCGACGAUACAUAGCCGACCUGAGAGGGUGAUCGGCCACACUGGGACUGAGACACGGCCCAGACUCCUACGGGAGGCAGCAGUAGGGAAUCUUCGGCAAUGGACGGAAGUCUGACCGAGCAACGCCGCGUGAGUGAAGAAGGUUUUCGGAUCGUAAAGCUCUGUUGUA
rnacentral:rRNA from 1 species